rnacentral:rRNA from 1 species
GAUGAACGCUAGCGGCAGGCUUAAUACAUGCAAGUCGAACGGCAAGGGACUUUCGGGUCCCCUAGAGUGGCGUACGGGUGAGUAACACGUACACAACAUGCCCUUUACUGGAAAAUAGCCCUGGGAAACUGGGAGUAAUAGUCCAUAAUAUUAUUUUUAGGCAUCUAAGAAUAAUUAAAGCUACGGCGGUAAAGGAUUGGUGUGCGUCCCAUUAGCUAGUUGGUAGGGUAACGGCCUACCAAGGCGACGAUGGGUAGCUGGCGUGAGAGCGCGACCAGCCACACUGGAACUGAGACACGGUCCAGACUCCUACGGGAGGCAGCAGUAGGGAAUAUUGGUCAAUGGGCGAGAGCCUGAACCAGCCAUCCCGCGUGCAGGAUGACGGCCCUCUGGGUUGUAAAUAUCUUUUAUCUGGGAAGAACAAUCUUAUUCUUAAGAUCUUGACGGUACCAGAGGAAUAAGCACCGGCUAACUCCGUGCCAGCAG